rnacentral:rRNA from 1 species
UGGGGAAUUUUGGACAAUGGGGGAAACCCUGAUCCAGCCAUCCCGCGUGUGCGAUGAAGGCCUUCGGGUUGUAAAGCACUUUUGGCAGGAAAGAAACGUCAUGGGUUAAUACCCCGUGAAACUGACGGUACCUGCAGAAUAAGCACCGGCUAACUACGUGCCAGCAGCCGCGGUAAUACGUAGGGUGCAAGCGUUAAUCGGAAUUACUGGGCGUAAAGCGUGCGCAGGCGGUUCGGAAAGAAAGAUGUGAAAUCCCAGAGCUCAACUUUGGAACUGCAUUUUUAACUACCGGGCUAGAGGGUGUCAGAGGGAGGUGGAAUUCCGCGUGUAGCAGUGAAAUGCGUAGAUAUGCGGAGGAACACCGAUGACGAAGGCAGCCUCCUGGGAUAACACUGACGCUCAUGCACGAAAGCGUGGGGAGCAAACAGG